UACGGAGGGGGCUAGCGUUGUUCGGAAUUACUGGGCGUAAAGCGCACGUAGGCGGCUUUGUAAGUUAGAGGUGAAAGCCCGGGGCUCAACUCCGGAAUUGCCUUUAAGACUGCAUCGCUCGAAUUGUGGGAGAGGAUAAGUGGAAUUCCGAGUGUAGAGGUGAAAUUCGUAGAUAUCGGAAGAACACCAGUGGCGAAGGCGACU
rnacentral:rRNA from 1 species